rnacentral:rRNA from 1 species
UAGGGAAUCUUCCGCAAUGGACGAAAGUCUGACGGAGCAACGCCGCGUGAGUGAAGAAGGAUUUCGGUUCGUAAAACUCUGUUGUUAGGGAAGAAAAAAUGUAUAGUAACUAUAUACAAAAGAGACGGCACCUAACCAGAAAGCCACGGCUAACUACGUGCCAGCAGCCGCGGUAAUACGUAGGUGGCAAGCGUUGUCCGGAUUUACUGGGUGUAAAGGGCGUGCAGGCGGGCUGAUAAGUCAGAUGUGAAAUCCCCGAGCUUAACUCGGGAACUGCAUCUGAUACUGUUGGUCUUGAGGGCGGGAGAGGAUAGUGGAAUUCCUAGUGUAGCGGUAAAAUGCGCAGAUAUUAGGAGGAACACCAGUGGCGAAGGCGGCUAUCUGGACAGUAACUGACGCUGAGGUGCGAAAGCGUGGGUAGCAAACAGG